GCGAGACGAAACUACACCACGUGGAACGCUGAGACCAGAGAACACGAAACAGCAAAUACAUAGUACCGGACUCAGCGAGCGCUGGAACGGCAAUCUUUCAAGGCAGCUACACUCUGAAGACAAGGUCAUCUCUUGCUGACGCGUCCACUCCUUGCAACACCCACACCCCCCGGAUGUGCCAGUGUUUCUUCAUGAUCUUAUACACUCGCCUGUUUUGGACAUCGAAGGUUCCUAUGCACCUGAUCACUUUCUCUCCCACUUUGGAUAAUCCGCACAGAUG